CCGAGGCCAUAUUAGAGAUUAGGGUUAGUUUCUUGAGCGAUUCGAACAUUGAAGGCUAGGGUCAGAAGGUUUAGGUUUUUGGUUAAGGUUUUGGUGCAAGUUUUGUGUCAUUUGGGGUUUUUAUGAAGAAGUUAUAGGUGCUCAAAGUUAAGAUGUUAGUUUUGGACCUACUGUCACUCUUUUGGGCAUAACGCACGCAUACGGAUGGCAAUUGAGAAUCGGCGACCGCCACUAGAGAGAACACCUUUGCGACUAUACUUUUUACAUACUGCUUACUGGAUUCCAAGCUUGGAUGAAGGAGUUAUUAGAUUUUGAAGUCAGCACAUGCAAUCUAAGGGUAGUAAGUAAACCGAUUUACUAGUGUUUGUCUCUUGAGCUAUAUCUUGAGCAAUUUUGUGAAGUUUUGGCUCAAAAUUUCAAGGAAUGUGUAAUUUCAUGUUAGUAAACUUUGUGCAUAAGUUUUAUGACAUUUGAAGUUCGGGUUUUUGAGAUAUAAGGAAAAUAGUUUUCGGGUGCUUGUAAAUUAGGGUUUGGAGUGUCUGCUAGGGUUUCUUAGAUGCCAGAAGAUCGGAAGUGAAUUUGCGGUUGGUUUUUUUCUUGGUACAAGUUAAGGGUAAAUUCUACCCUUCUUGUAACUUUGAAAAAAACUGAACGGUUAGAUCAAUAGUUAUGAUUUUCUAAAGUUCAGGGCGGAAAAACCCUUCGCGGGAAAAAUAUGUUUUGAAGGGAUUUUGUUAUAUUUGGAGUUUUAUACAAAAAUAAAGGAGUUUUGGAAGCCAAGAAAAGAAUCAUAUAAAGGUUUAAGGUACACUCUCUAUAGCUAGAUACCCAAUGUAUUCCCAGAUAGCAAAUCAUGCCAUACGACAACGUAUACUAGAACAACCAUGGUUUU
rnacentral:lncRNA from 1 species